AAAUCAUGAUGAAAACACUUCCUCAAAAGCUCUCCAAAUCAUUUCUAUGCCUCGAAUAAGGAUUCUGCUUCAUAUUGCUGGAAGCAACAUAUCUCUGUCAUAAGCUU